rnacentral:tRNA from 1 species
CCCUUUGUAGCUCAGCUGGAAGAGCGUGGGACUGUAAUGGAAAUCACGUGACAUCCCAAGGCCAUCGGUUCGAUCCCGAUCGAAGGGA